rnacentral:tRNA from 1 species
GGCAGGAUAGAGAAAUGGUAUCUUCCUGGUUUCCUUAGCCAGAGAUGGUGGUUCGACUCCGCCUCCUGCAA